ensembl:lncRNA
GCCGCACCUGCUGACCUCAGUGAGGUUAAAUAAGAAGGUCAAUCAUAAACAGGGGCGGUGUUGGUGUGAAUGAGUUGAAAACACCUACAGCAGAUAUAGACGAGGCUCUGACUCAUGUGAAUCUAAAGGAGGCUGUAAGUCCUCCAAGAAGACCAAAUAUAUACACAUCGCUGUGUAGAAAGAGCCAGAAUCUCAGAGAACAUCUCUGGCUUCAGUCCGCCCUGGCAUCGAGGAGCUGCUUCCCCCCCCCCCCCGAUCAAAACAGAACACAUAAAAGAAUUUCUUAGCAGCAGCUGUUUUCUUUUACUUAUUAUAAAUAACCUGCAUCGAACAAAACAGCACAUCACACACACCUCGCACACACAGACUUUGCACGCAUCAUAUCGCGUGUGAUUCACGCCACCGCAGCGCAAGCUCAACCCUCUCUGGUUGAGCCUCUGAAUCCCUUCCAGGCCUUCCUGGGUGGAGUAGUCCUGCACAUGUGGGCCUGAGAGAUAAGGCGGCGCAGGAACUGACAGGCGGGUCGGCGACCCGCAGCUCAUCUCAACACUCACAUCGCGGCAGCGGGUUUAUAACGGGCGGGAUCUAUUCAAAUGUCCCGGGUGGGGAAGGGUUCUUCUCCCUGCGGCCACAACGACCACGUACGUUGUGUUGCUGGGCGGUUGUGUUUCAGCAGGGCACUGAUAGCUGUGUUGUAGUAGCGCUGUGAUACACCUUCACACACCCAAUGGGGGGGGGGUAUCCACUGAGCGGCGUCAUUGAGCCAAGCAUGGAGAGGUGCCGGCAGGUUAACACGUCACAUCAUGUUGGGACGCGAACCAAUGACUUCCGUAGGCACCGACCUGGCAGUCGCGACGUGAUUGGUGGGAGUGGAUCAAAGGCAGGGUGCUUUGGCCUUUACUCAAGUAACACACACAUAGAGGACUCGCACAAACACACACACACACACGCGCGCAAAUGCUCACACCUGACACACGCACAUAUUGGACAAACCCCUCGACAAACACACAAGCCACACACGUGCAUAUAGACACACAAAUUCAGGCACGUAUCAGAACCCAACACAUACAAUACAAACGGCACACACACACACACACACACACACACACACACACACACACACACACACACACACACACACACACACACCACCAGCCGGAGCUGUCCUCUCUGUUGUGUGUAGCUGACAUGACCCAGGGCAGCCCCCUGUGAGCGCCUCUCUGCUCACACGCCCCAAUGAUAGUAGGGGGGGGGGGGGGCAGCUAACUACCCCCCCCCCACAGCAGCUCACAAUGCCCAGGAUGUCAGCUGGCGGCCGACCGUUCCACCGGAUCCAGCCCAGUGUGCGGAAACACAAAAAGGCACCAAUCCCGUUCCCGACCGUCGGCCCUCGCUCUCCACCGGGUUUGGUCGUGUUGUCGCUCUCUUUUCCCCCUCGCACGGUUCCUCCUCGUGUUGUUCGAAAAAGAAGGCGGCUGGAGAGUGAACACGUCGGCUAAUCUCAUCCUGCACCAGAGUGGGUUCAGCCGCCUGGGAGGGUGAUCACCACGGCUCGCUGUCCUUCAGACAGAGCGAUUCUGUCUGUUUCAGAGGAGCCGUUCUGAUCCCAACACUGACACGCUAGGAGGCUAACGCUAGGAGGCUAAUGCUAGGAGGCUAAUGCUAGGAGGUUAAUGCCAGGAGGCUAGCGCUAGGAGGCUAACGCUAGGAGGCUAGCGCUAGGAGGCUAACGCUAGGAGGCUAACGCUAGGAGGCUAAUCCUAGGAGGCUAAUGCUAGGAGGUUAAUGCCAGGAGGCUAGCGCUAGGAGGCUAAAGCUAGGAGGCUAACGCUAGGAGGCUAGCGCUAGGAGGCUAACGCUAGGAGGUUAAUGCUAGGAGGCUAGUGCUAAGCCCACGUUGUCACACCUCACCCGUGUCAACGACUUAAGCACACCCAAAGAGACGGAGGACUUCAGUCUUUGAAUCACACGUUUACAUGCCGGACAUCGUUAGAAUUCGUCCCUUCGUUCUGAGAGAACCGCCUUAACCGGCAGGCAACAUCCGGUUUCCCGCACAGAGUGGUUUGGUUUCUGUGUUGCUAGCUCAAUGCUACAUGUGGUCGUUUUAAAUAAACAUUAAAAGGAUCCUCAAACUAUAAGCAUAUAAGCCACGAGCAUAUUUUACAACCAAGGUUAAUAGUGGAAGGAUCAAUAAAAUCACAACUACCAUUAGAGAAAGAGUGAGGCAAUAUUCAUUAUUCAUAUCUCUAAUGUGGACUAUAGAAGCCCCCCCCCCCCCCCCCCCAGCAAUAAAUAUAUAAAUACAUGUACAACACCAAUGACUCAGAUGGUAUGGCAUGUUUUACAGAAUCCUUAUUCUUUGACAAUAAACUGCCAAAUUCAAAAUGAAGCAUCUCACUUUUAGGGGUUCAGCGAGCUAUUACAUCAUUUAUUUCCUCCAUACCUGACUUAGUUAUUCUGGGAUUUGAGGCAGUAAUCCAUUUUACUUUGUCAGCUCGUAUUACUCAAAACGUUUAGCUCGAAAGUAGCUGAAGGGGGGGAGAGGGAUGUGGGGGGGGGUCCUGGCUUUGGGGUCUACCAUGCUUCUCUCGAAUAUAAAUAAGUGUGUGUGUGUGUGUGUGUGCGUGUGCGUGUGCGUGUGCGUGUGUGUGUGUGUGUGUGUGUGUGUGUGUGUGUGCGCGUGCGGUCGAGGCUUUUGUCACGGAACCUGUUGUUGACAAUGGUCAACAAUGAUGUCCUUCUGUGUGUUCCCGUCAGAUAUGAGGGGCAGACACUCUGGAGAAUUCCCAGACACAAUGGUGGACUCAGAGGAAAACAAAUAAAUAUUGUCUCUCCAGGUGCGGCUCACAACACUUUUGCUUCUAAAGUCCCGGGACAUUUUCAGAAAUAAAGAAAAAUAACGGAAUACAUCCCGGCACGUGCUGUUGAGAUAGUAACUCAUUAGGCCGAUAUUUAUGCAUAGGAUUUGGAACACAAAAUAAUAUGCGUCUACAUGGCCUAAGAGGUGUUCCAUGGUUUGGGAUUCCUCUACUCCUGGAGGAGAGUGCAUUCCUUUCAGCAGUAUGUCAUGACCGCGUCUUAUCAGCCCCAACCACGCCAUGUUGGAACACACGCCUCUCACAGCACAACGCAACACACCGCUCAGCUCACACACUUUAAUGCCUGCUGCCUGUAUUAAAAACAGCCACUGCCAAGCCUAACCUCACGGCCAUUGUGAGUCCUGGCGCCCCGCGACGACGAGGCCAAAAAACCCAGACCCCCUCCCCAAAUAACGCUCGCCUCGCAACACAAAUGGACCGGACUGAUUGCCUGCGCCGAUGCAUCAUCAACACAUGCAAUCAGUAAACACACAGACGGUCGUGAUGCACCUGUCGGCCUCGCGCCGCGGGGAGCCAUCCUGCCGUCAGGCACACACACACACGCACACACACACACACACACACGGUGCAUGCAUACACACAUUUACACAGCGAUGGCGGUUAUUACCGGAGACACGAGACCUGUGAUAUGACAGCUCUAUCGAUCUGAAAGGUGGUCGUCGUUAAAGCUUUGGUUCUCCCUCCCUGUCUCCACGAUGCCUCAAAUUUCCGCUCAUAACCCCGCGCUGUUCCUCCCGCGUUCUCCCCCAGAGACCCUUUAUAUAUAAAACCCCUCCAGCCUCUCCUCGCGCCGGUCUCUCGGGGUCUGGAUGCUGACGGCCGGGAUGCGACCACCGCCUCCAGCCCCGCGCGCCACACCGGAACGGGUCACCGGGGCCGGAGCCUAACGCAUGGUGGGCCGACCAACGGUAAACCGGGACUCACUCAGUAGAAGGUCCCGUUCGCUGUCCACACCGCGGGGGUCUUCCACAGAACGCUCGCGCCUCGCCGUCCGCGGUUGUUUAUUUCUCGGUGUCUCUCGUCGCCGCCCCUCCUCGCGCCUCUCUUCUCCUCGAGCUGCUGCGGGCUCCUGGCGCGCGCUGCUGCUCGCCGAUGAGGUGAUGCCGUCACGCCCGGUCGGAUCGUGGGGAGAUCGAGCUGUCCGUUAUUUCCCCCCUCGAUACUCUGGAUGGAGCGAUGCUGCCUUUUGGACCCUCGCGCGGCGUUCACUAGUAGCGCGUGAAACGACGUGCUUUUCGGUGUCCGCCUCUCCUGAUGCAGUACCCUAAAGGCCCACCGGGGGCGCUGUCUGGAGCUGGUGAUGUGCAGUAGGCUGUUA